UCACAUAAGACACACAACAAAAAAAAACCCCCUAACCAACUCUCCUCUCUCUCCUCCCUCUUCACGCCGUUUCCCCCUCUUCGUUAUCUCUCUCCUCCCUGUUCCUUCUCUCUCCUUUCUAAUUCAUUGCACCGUAGAUCUCUCAUUCCUCUCUAAUCAUCAUCAUCAUCACCUCACCGAUCUCCUUUAUCAUAAUCGACUCCGACAUCAAAAUAACACCGUAGAUGAUCAUCAAAAUUGGGGAUAGAAGAUCUCAGGCAAAUAUUUGGAGUGAGGAGCAAAAUCUGGUCUUGUAAUUUUUGUUUUAGAUUAGAUGAAGUAUUAUAAUGUUUUAAUCUAAGUUGUUGGUACAAUUAGAUCUAAGUUGAUGGUACAAUUGUUAUUUUUGUAAUAACUUUUGAAUAUAUAAGUUUGGGUUUUAUUUUCUUUGUGGGUU